UACGGAGGGGGCUAGCGUUGUUCGGAAUUACUGGGCGUAAAGCGCACGUAGGCGGCUUUGCAAGUUAGAGGUGAAAGCCCGGGGCUCAACUCCGGAAUUGCCUUUAAAACUGCAUCGCUAGAAUUGUGGAGAGGUAAGUGGAAUUCCGAGUGUAGAGGUGAAAUUCGUAGAUAUUCGGCGGAACACCAGUGGCGAAGGCGACUCACUGGCCCGAUACUGACGCUGAGGCGCGAAAGCGUGGGGAGCAAACAGG
rnacentral:rRNA from 1 species